CGUUCUUGUUCUUUCCUUUUCGCUUACUCUUUCCUCCUUUUCCCUUAUUCUUCGGCAUUUUGAUAAAAACAAAAAAUCCAAAGAAAGCCAAAGGACAGAACAAAAAAGAAAAA
rnacentral:ribozyme from 13 species